CCUAGGAGAGGAGGAAAUGAGGAUUCGGCUGCUCUUCUUUGGGGUGCAAACUACUGAGGACUCAGCUAAACGUCAACAUGCGAGAUCAAGACGAUAUAAUAUUUUGCGGUCAGAAUAUGGGGCAGAUAAAUGUCCAAGCAAAAUGAAAUAAAAUAAAAUAAAAUAAAAUAAAAUAAAAUAAAAUAAAGCCGUAUUUCUAACCAUGUUCCCUUCAUCUCCAACCUGUGUGGGUAAAAGUCUCUAUGCUUAUAAACUGACCUCACAGACCGACUGCAGGAGAGGAAGGCACGAGCAAACAUUGCCCCCAAAAUGGACUUAUUCAGCUCCAGGGUGAGGAGCUUGGGUAAAGGAGAUGGUGAAUAAAAGGGGGAAAGGAAGAUAAAAUCUGUGUUCUAUAGCCCUGUUGCUUAAAGUGUAACUAUCUUAAGAACAGAACGUGAGCAGCAUUUAGAAAUGUACUGCAAUGUGAUAUAGGAGUUAGGUGUCUAUUGAUUCUCCUAAUAAAUCAUUUGAGCUUGUA